GGCUCCAGACCUGAGUAACACCCUGGCUUCCUUUUGUCUCCUGCAUUUUCUGGUCCCAAAACCUUUAGGCUAUGAAAUGGCCCCUCUCUACACCCUGAGGAUGAGGUCACCUCUCCUGCAAGCAGGUGGGAGGUCAAUGUCCCUGUGGCUCAGGAGGCACCAGCUGCUGUGCUGAAUCUGCUGCACAAGGGAGUGAGGGCAUGCUCCCAGGGAAGGCAGGCUCUGCAGGAACUGCUGCAGGGGGGGCUCCAAACUCCAAUGAACUUACAGCAAGUUCAGCAUGUUGUUCCCCCAGGGGCCCCAGGAGCACAGGUGGGAGCCAAGAGGCUGGUGUGCCACACAGAAUCAGGAGCAAGCAGCCAAAACAAGGAGCUAACCAAGGAUGCUGUGCUGCAUCGUGAUACAAGAACCCUACAGAUCCUGAAAAACAAACGGGAGCAAGAGUCUGAUUUCUCCAGAGCUUCAUUUCAGGCAUCAGUAUUGGCUGGGGGUGGCUGGAAGCAACUGAUAUCCUGCAGGAACUGGUGUCCCAGCUCUGGUGGGAACUGUGGGCUUGUAGCUGUGAGGGACCAGGGAGAAGCUAAUUCCUUUAGGCUCCUUAGAGAGUUUGAUAACAGGCAACAAACUGCCAGCCUGACUUGCAGAAACAGAGAUGCGUAGAUCAAACGGUGUUUAUCUCAUCUCAGUGACACAGUGGGAUGCUAUGGCAUCUUUCUGCUGUCACAUCACUUCUGAGGCCACUGAGAGGGGUUUAAUGUCUCUGCUGAGCAUUGUGCCAGCCCAGGAGCAAGUGCUGGGGAGGAACCAUUGGGCUGGAACAGCUGCUGUUUUCAAGGUGCUGGAACUGGGCAGAGUUGAGCGUGCAUCACUUCUGCUUUGUUACCUGUCAUCACCUGAAACAGCAUCAACUGUUGAUUCACACAGCCAGUUCUACUCCACAGCCUCUGCUGUGAUACACAGCUAGAGUUUCAGAGCCUGUCAGUGAGCUCUCACAUCAGGGGAUGCUUUUGGCUGUUGGCAGCUAGUAUUUGUAUUAUGUGUGCAAGGCCUUUCACUCAGCCAUGUCCUGUGGACUUUACAUAUAAAAGGCACUUCCACCAGGUUAUAGGAAGGCCUGAACUACAAGCCACAAUCCCAAAGUGUGCCUAAGUGCUGUAACAACUCUGAACACCAAGCAAAUUAAAAGGUCCUGUGGAGAAGAACUUGCACUCCCCAGAAACAGAAGUGUUGAAAACCAUCAGGGCUUGCUGGCUUUCUUGCCUCCAGGAGAACAUUUAUUUUUCAGUCUGACAAGUACUGAAUUAAAAAGUGAAAUUUGCUAUUAAAUAUGUGAAUACUGAAUUAUGGGCACCUUGAAAACACAAAACCAAAUAAAACAAGCUGAUUUGGGUAUGUACAGGAGUGAGCUGAAAAGUAAUCUUGUGCAAUUGCUUGCAUAAAAACUGAGAGCAUGAAAAGAGCUGAACUCAGCCUGGAAAUGUUUC